UGACCUGAGUGACUAAUAGGAUUCCCUCAGUAAUGGCGAAUGAACAGGGAUCAGCUCAGCAUGGAAAUUGGGGCCUCUGGCCUUGAAUUGUAGUCUUGAGAUGGCAUCGCCAGCGGAGGCGCAGAUGUAAGCCUCUUGGAAAAGAGCAUCAAUGAGGGUGAGAGUCCCGUUUGUCAUCUGCAGUCCCCCGUGCACGGCUUGCUUUCUAAGAGUCACGUUCCUUGGGAUUGGAGCGCAAAUUGGGUGGUAAAUUUCAUCUAAAGCUAAAUAUUGGUUCGAGACCGAUAGCAAACAAGUACCAUGAGGGAAAGGUGAAAAGGACUUUGAAAAGAGAGUUAAAAGUGCCUGAAAUUGCUGAAAGGGAAGCGAAUGGAACCAGUUUUUCUUGGCGAGAUUGUUGCGUGCUAAUGUGAUGGCUUGUUGCUUCAACGCAAGUGUUGCAGCGGGUUUUGAUCUGGACGUGCGCGGUGCUUCUUGCCUUGGGUGUCAACGUCGGUUCAGACUUGAGGAAAACUCCAGGGACAUGGUAAGUCACUUCUGGGUGACUGAAAGUGCUUGGCAGAACUCAUUUCUGAACUGAAUUCCGCAUGUCUGGUCGCAGUGCUUUCACUUCCCGUGCUUCGUUCGGAGCUCUCUGGGCUCUGCGCUGGGCUGGGACGUGGGGCAUCUCCCUGACAUCAGUACGAUGACAAAAUGGUUUUAUUCGACCCGUCUUGAAACACGGACCAAGGAGUCUAACAUAUGUGCAAGUUCACGGGUGUUAAACCUGCUUGCGCAAUGAAAGUGACUGCUGGGAUAUUUGCACCAGCAACCGACCAAUCAAUUGUGAGAGGUUUGAGUAUGAGCAUAUCUGUUAGGACCCGAAAGAUGGUGAACUAUGCCUGAGAAGGGCGAAGUCAGGGGAAACUCUGAUGGGAGGCUCGUAGCGAUACUGACGUGCAAAUCGUUCGUCAUACUUGGGUAUAGGGCGAAAGACUAAUCGAACCAUCUAGUAGCUGGUUGUGCUUCCGAAGA
rnacentral:rRNA from 1 species